AUGCUGGCGCGUUAUCCUGCUCCGGCCGUCACUGUCAGCAAGUUCAGUUCUCGCUUGAUGCAGGGUGCAGUUAACUCCUCUAGUGAUUCUUUGAUGGUUGGUUUGAUGUAUCACAUAGAAGCCAGUGCCGUAAAGAAUGAUGAGCUGCAAGCAGAGCAGGAGGUGCGCACUCUGAAGUUGCUCAGCUUGGUGCAUAAGGAAAAUGAGCUUGCCAUUUUAGUUGCCGUGCUUCUGUUUGCAACUGUUGCUGCUGAUGCGACGUACUUCGACAACAAGUGCAUGACUGAAUGUAGCUACAUCCACUUUAUGUGCCUUUCGAGUCUGUUGGUGAUGGCGGAGCCUGGAGUGUGGUUACAUGUAAAGUAG
rnacentral:rRNA from 1 species